rfam:Xanthomonas campestris pv. campestris str. ATCC 33913, complete genome.
ACGUACCACUCAUACGCUGCGGUUCUGAGCGCGCAGCCCGCAUACACUGAAGACUGCUCGCCAAGUGUUGUCAGCC